rnacentral:rRNA from 1 species
UACAGAGGGUGCGAGCGUUAAUCGGAAUUACUGGGCGUAAAGCGUGCGUAGACGGUUACGUAAGUCGGGUGUGAAAGCCCCGGGCUCAACCUGGGAAUUGCAUUCGAGACUGCGCAGCUAGGGUGCGGAAGAGGGAAGCGGAAUUCCCGGUGUAGCGGUGAAAUGCGUAGAUAUCGGAAGGAACAUCAGUGGCGAAAGCGGCUUCCUGGUCCAGCACCGACGUUCAGGCACGAAAGCGUGGGGAGCAAACAGG